UGAACGGCCACAUUGGGACUGAGACACGGCCCAGACUCCUACGGGAGGCAGCAGUGGGGAAUAUUGCACAAUGGGGGAAACCCUGAUGCAGCGACGCCGCGUGGAGGAAGAAGGUCUUCGGAUUGUAAACUCCUGUUGUUGAGGAAGAUAAUGACGGUACUCAACAAGGAAGUGACGGCUAACUACGUGCCAGCAGCCGCGGUAAAACGUAGGUCACAAGCGUUGUCCGGAAUUACUGGGUGUAAAGGGAGCGCAGGCGGGAGAACAAGUUGGAAGUGAAAUCCAUGGGCUCAACCCAUGAACUGCUUUCAAAACUGUUUUUCUUGAGUAGUGCAGAGGUAGGCGGAAUUCCCGGUGUAGCGGUGGAAUGCGUAGAUAUCGGGAGGAACACCAGUGGCGAAGGCGGCCUACUGGGCACCAACUGACGCUGAGGCUCGAAAGUGUGGGUAGCAAACAGGAUUAGAUACCCUGGUAGUCCACACCGUAAACGAUGAUUACUAGGUGUUGGAGGAUUGACCCCUUCAGUGCCGCAGUUAACACAAUAAGUAAUCCACCUGGGGAGUACGACCGCAAGGUUGAAACUCAAAGGAAUUGACGGGGGCCCGCACAAGCAGUGGAGUAUGUGGUUUAAUUCGACGCAACGCGAAGAACCUUACCAAGUCUUGACAUCCCUUGACGAUGCUGGAAACAGUAUUUCUCUUCGGAGCAAGGAGACAGGUGGUGCAUGGUUGUCGUCAGCUCGUGUCGUGAGAUGUUGGGUUAAGUCCCGCAACGAGCGCAACCCUUAU
rnacentral:rRNA from 1 species